rnacentral:rRNA from 1 species
AGCGAACGCUGGCGGCAGGCCUAACACAUGCAAGUCGAACGAACUCUUCGGAGUUAGUGGCGGUCGGGUGAGUAACACGUGGGAACGUGCCUUUUGGUUCGGAAUAACUCAGGGAAACUUGUGCUAAUACCGAAUGUGCCCUUCGGGGGAAAGAUUUAUCGCCAUUAGAGCGGCCCGCGUCCGAUUAGCUAGUUGGUGAGGUAACGGCUCACCAAGGCGACGAUCAGUAGCUGGUCUGAGAGGAUGACCAGCCACACUGGGACUGAGACACGGCCCAGACUCCUACGGGAGGCAGCAGUGGGUGAUCUUGCGCAAUGGGCGAAAGCCUGACGCAGCCAUGCCGCGUGAAUGAUGAAGGUCUUAGGAUAGUAAAAUUCUUUCACCGGGGGCGAUAAUGACGGUACCCGGAGAAGAAGCCCCGGCUAACUUCGUG